GUUUUCUGAAAACCCACUCCUAGUCUCAAAUUACAAGGUCUUUAAGGAGCCAUUUUCAAGUUCCUAUAAAUCAGGUUAAACCCAUGUUUCUGAGGAUAUCCUGGGUAAAGAGAAGGGGCAGAAAGGCAGUGAUGGAAAGUGAAGGGGUGGAAGAAUAGUAUCAUAUAAAGUUACCAAUCAUAUUUCUCUUGUUCUUUCUCUACUGGUUCUAUAAAUCCUUUAGUACUCCAUUUCCCUGAAAUAUUUCUAAGGAUCCUAAUGGGGUAUCUCAUGUGUCCGAUGGUUCGCCAUUUUGGAUGACUUCUAGCUUCUACUGUUUCCUCCGUCCCAGUUCCAGAUGGUUAUGAUGACGACUUGUAAUAUUGACAAUGUCCAGAACUAACUCCUAUAUCACUGAACAUAACCACCCCAGCUUCUGGCGCUCCACAGAGGCAACACCUGUACAUUUAGGAUUGGCCACAUGCUACUACUGAAAUUGGUUCCCUUUGAAUCUGGGCCUAAAGUCUCAGUGGUCCAAGUCAUCUCCUGAGAGACGCAUUCCUGAUCAUAUGAUAGAAAAAUCAAAGAAAAAUCAAAGAAAAGUUUGCCGUAGCAAGGAAGACUUGAACUCAACACUGUGUACCAACUUAGGGUUGAAGGAACGGGCUUUGAAGCUAUGAAGAAGAGAAACUCAGUGUGUGCUGAAUUGAGCAAUGCGUGCCCUCCCGCUCUUGGUGACCUGGCACAAUCUAUUAUUCCAAUCUUACAGCUGAGGUCCAGAGUCCUACUCAAGAUUGAACAAAGUCAUACCGAAGUGAUGAACAAGCGUGAGGCCUUACUUCUCCAGACAGAACUGAAUCUCUCUCCUUUGGAGAUUGACUUUGAUUUACGAUGAGGUGCAUGGAGUGUGUCCUAAGGGCAUCAAGCCGUAAUUGCUCUCCUUCAAAGUGGACCGUUCUGCCCUCAUCCUUCAACUAAAGGGGAGCUGUAUAACACCCUGUGUUGAUUUGACUUCUGAUUUAUUUCUUUUGGAAGGAUUAUGUCUUUUGUUAAAACGUUCUUUUCACCGGGGAUGGAGAUUUAAGGAAUAAAGAGGCUUUGGUUUUAGGAGGCUACUUUUUC
rnacentral:lncRNA from 1 species